GCUCUCCGAUAUCUACUCCGUCUC
rnacentral:miRNA from 1 species